ACUCCUACGGGAGGCAGCAGUGGGGAAUAUUGCACAAUGGGCGCAAGCCUGAUGCAGCCAUGCCGCGUGUAUGAAGAAGGCCUUCGGGUUGUAAAGUACUUUCAGCAGUGAGGAAGGUGGGUAUGUAUAGCAUACUCAUUUGACGUUAGCUGCAGAAGAAGCACCGGCUAACUCCGUGCCAGCAGCCGCGGUAAUACGGAGGGUGCGAGCGUUAAUCGGAAUUACUGGGCGUAAAGCGCAUGCAGGUGGUUUGUUAAGUCAGAUGUGAAAGCCCGGGGCUCAACCUCGGAAUUGCAUUUGAAACUGGCAAACUAGAGUACUGUAGAGGGGGGUAGAAUUUCAGGUGUAGCGGUGAAAUGCGUAGAGAUCUGAAGGAAUACCGGUGGCGAAGGCGGCCCCCUGGACAGAUACUGACACUCAGAUGCGAAAGCGUGGGGAGCAAACAGGAUUAGAUACCCUGGUAGCUACGAGU
rnacentral:rRNA from 1 species